rnacentral:rRNA from 1 species
UGAGUAAUGUCUGGGAAACUGCCUGAUGGAGGGGGAUAACUACUGGAAACGGUAGCUAAUACCGCAUAACGUCGCAAGACCAAAGAGGGGGACCUUCGGGCCUCUUGCCAUCAGAUGUGCCCAGAUGGGAUUAGCUAGUAGGUGGGGUAACGGCUCACCUAGGGCGACGAUCCUUAACGGGCGUGGGGGAAGAACCCCCCCCCCCCCCUGGAAACUGAAACCCGGUCCAAAAUCCCUGGGGGGGGGGCAGCAGUGGGGAAUAUUGCACAAUGGGCGCAAGCCCUGAUGCACCCAUGCCGCCGUGUAUGAAGAAGGCCUUCGGGUUGUAAAGUACUUUCAGCGGGGAGGAAGGUGCUGAGGUUAAUAACCUCAGCAAUUGACGUUACCCGCAGAAGAAGCACCGGCUAACUCCGUGCCAGCAGCCGCGGUAAUACGGAGGGUGCAAGCGUUAAUCGGAAUUACUGGGCGUAAAGCGCACGCAGGCGGUCUGUCAAGUCGGAUGUGAAAUCCCCGGG